CGUUUGUAAAUGUUACUGACUGACUUUGACAACUUGACAGGCUGUUUGAUCCAGUGUAAGGGGUUUUGAUAAUUUACGAUUAAGUGUUUGCAUAAAAUGAAUGAUGUCCAUACCUCACAGUUUCAAACAAAGAUUCAUCAGGGCUACCUGGUACAGGUCGAUGAGAAAGAGCGAGAAGCCUCACGACCUCCGAGUAGGGAGUAAAAAAUAAGAAGUGUUCAUCAGUUUAAAGGUUCAAUCAUGUUUAUGUUUUGUGGUUUUGAUGUGGCUAGGGGAGGUAACGUUAAUGUAGGGUUCAAAGAAGCCUAACUGAGCUAUCUAGUGUUUAGCAACCGGUUGCAUAAAUUGUAACAAUUGCUAAAGUCGACUAAUAACGUUAGCAGCUAUUUGUGUGUAACAUGGUAGGUUAUUUUCUUUUCAUUUUGCUACCAUGUGUUGCAAAAUGACAAAUAAAUGGCCUAAACAUACACCUAGCUUUCAUGGAAACCACAGAAUCUGGUUCUGAUGGCUGCUGUUUUAUAUCAUAUGUUUAUUUUAAACCAUGCACUGUCAGUUAUCUUUUAAGGUCCAUUGGCCAGUGGUAUGUAAGUACUGAUUUUUAUACCCUGUACCUAAGUUAUCUUUUCAACGUUCACUUGUUCAACGUUCACUGUUUUCAUAACACUAUAUGAAGGUGAGCAAAUUGAGACGGGUGAUGUAUUUGGAUAUCCUUAGAUUACAGUAUUGUGUACAGUAUUAUUCAAUUGAUAAUUCAUGUCAGGCAUGAUUGAGCCUAUUUCCAUAACUUACCUACUAUUUAUUGACUUAUGCAUUUGUCAGACGCAUUUAUCCAAACUUUUUUUAAUCAAACUUACAGUGCAUUACAAGGUAUAUAUUUUUUAUUUAUCAGUAUGUGUUCCCUUGGAUUGAACCCAUGACCUUUUGCACUGCAAACGCAAUGCUCUACCACUGAGCUAUAAAGGAACACCUACUACUUACCUGAUCAGCCUGCUCUCAGCUUUCUCAUUUUCUGUGUUGUAUUGAAGUUCUGUCCUGAUUCUGAAUGUGAAAUGACAUAUAUUUUGUUUUAAUGUGUAGAUUGUCUUUGAAGACUGCUCACCGGUUGAAAUUUCGGUGGCAGAGUGUUCAUGUGUGGCUGGAAGGGCACUCUGCAACCACAAUGUUGCACUGCUGUUCCAGACCGCACACUACUCCACACUGAACCUGGCUGCUGUACCCCCCGUCCUUAGCUGCACUGAUACAGAGCAGCUCUGGCACAAGCCAAGAACCAUGGGUGUAAAACCAGGCAGAGUGAGCGACAUGGUGUUCAUUUCCACAAAACCAAAGCAAUUUACAGUUGCUCACGGUGUAAGGAGUACGCGUUACAAGGCAGUGCGAGGGGAGUUGCCAGAUGCAGAUGUCCUUAAAGUUGACGAGGUGUACGAAGACUUCUUGCCAAACAUUGCUCCACUCAUUACCACCAUGGCGAUAAAUGCGGACAUCCCACUAGUUGACUCUGCAUCUGGGAAAGUCCAGGAAGGUAGUCCUAUAU